AAAAAGUUCAUAGAGUACAGUCAAGAUCUUAGUGUUGUCUAAUUUAUAUUGCAUAUGUAGUAUGAGUUCAAGAAACUUCAAAAGUUAACUUUGUGCAACCCAAACUAUCCAACAAAAACUACCUAUGCAAGCAAUUGUAAGCACAAAGUCCUCAGGUGGCAGAUGCCACAAUGAAACACACAUUUGAAACAGGUAUUUUGUUUGAUAUGCGUUUGGAAAUGCUCCACAGUUUGCGAAAUGCUAAUGACCUCACCCUUUUUGCAAGGGUAAAUACUAAAAUUGCAACACCAUUAUCAACACUUUAACCAAUUUCAAUCUUAACUCUGUACAGAAAAUUAUCUAUCGCCAACAUUUCUAUUUAUCUAUUUUCUCAAUUUUUAAUUUUUUCUUAUUUAAUGAUAAAAAAAAUCUUCACAAAAUUUGGUAAAAUUUUCUCUCUUCAUUAUUAUUAGUACUUUUAUUUCUUUUUCCAAGAAACCUUCCUUCUCCCUUCUUUGUCUUCCGUUUUUUAAACCUCUUUGUUAUAAAUUGAUUUUCCCAGUUAUUUAACAUCCACAAAAUUUGCAAACAAAUAAAUAUAUACACCUUAUUUAUCGUCAUCCCUUAAUAUUAUCAUUUACUCCUAUUUCAUUCACCCACGUUCCUUAUCAAAGCUUUUGUCCAUUCCAGAUGAAUAUUUCUUCUUGUACCCACGUUCUCACCCCCAUUAAAUCCCAUUACUUUGAUCAUUGAUAAAAAAAAAUACAUAUAUAUAUAUAAAUGCAAUUACCUUUAGACCAAUAAAUAUUACUCCUAGCAUUUGAUUUCAAGCACACAUCCUCUUGCACUUCAAAAUCAGCUUAGUUUUGGCUUUAUUAUAUAAGAUUUUUGUCUCACUUCUCUCUUUUUUGGGCCUUCCCUUCAAGAAUUAGCAAGAAGAUGGUAAAAAUCUUGUACGUGGAUUAGCCACUGUUUUCCAGAAGGCUGUCCUUGCUGCGUCAACACUAUUUGAUCAA